rnacentral:rRNA from 1 species
GAUGAACGCUGGCGGCGUGCCUAAUACAUGCAAGUCGAGCGAACAGACGAGGAGCUUGCUCCUCUGACGUUAGCGGCGGACGGGUGAGUAACACGUGGAUAACCUACCUAUAAGACUGGGAUAACUUCGGGAAACCGGAGCUAAUACCGGAUAAUAUAUUGAACCGCAUGGUUCAAUAGUGAAAGACGGUUUUGCUGUCACUUAUAGAUGGAUCCGCGCCGCAUUAGCUAGUUGGUAAGGUAACGGCUUACCAAGGCAACGAUGCGUAGCCGACCUGAGAGGGUGAUAGGCCACACUGGAACUGAGACACGGUCCAGACUCCUACGGGAGGCAGCAGUAGGGAAUCUUCCGGAAUGGGCGAAAGCUUGACGGAGCAACGCCGCGUGAGUGAUGAAGGUCUUCGGAUCGUAAAACUCUGUUAUUAGGGAAGAACAAAUGUGUAAGUAACUAUGCACGUCUUGACGGUACCUAAUCAGAAAGCCACGGCUAACUACGUG